rnacentral:rRNA from 1 species
UACAGAGGUGGCAAGCGUUGUUCGGAUUUACUGGGCGUAAAGGGUUCGUAGGCGGUUCGGAAAGUCAAAUGUGAAAUCCCACAGCUCAACUGUGGAACUGCAUUUGAAACUCCCGGACUAGAGUAUGAGAGGGGUAAAAGGAAUUCCCGGUGUAAGGGUGAAAUCUGCAGAGAUCGGGAGGAACACCAGUCGCGAAGGCGUUUUACUGGCUCAUUACUGACGCUCAGGAACGAAAGCUAGGGUAGCAAACGGG